rnacentral:rRNA from 1 species
GUUGUUCGGAAUUACUGGGCGUAAAGGGCUCGUAGGUGGCCAACUAAGUCAGCCGUGAAAUCCCUCGGCUUAACCGGGGAACUGCGUCUGAUACUGGAUGGCUUGAGUUUGGGAGAGGGAUGCGGAAUUCCAGGUGUAGCGGUGAAAUGCGUAGAUAUCUGGAGGAACACCGGUGGCGAAGGCGGCAUCCUGGACCAACACUGACACUGAGGAGCGAAAGCCAGGGGAGCAAACGGG